UACGGGGGGAGCAAGCGUUGUUCGGAUUUACUGGGCGUAAAGGGCGCGUAGGCGGUCAGCACAAGUCAGUUGUGAAAUCUCGGGGCUUAACUCCGAAACUGCAUUCGAUACUGCCGUGCUUGAGGACUGGAGAGGAGAGUGGAAUUCCCGGUGUAGCGGUGAAAUGCGCAGAUAUCGGGAAGAACACCCGUGGCGAAGGCGGCUCUCUGGGACGGUACUGACGCUGAGACGCGAAAGCGUGGGGAGCGAACAGG
rnacentral:rRNA from 1 species